AUGGUCCUCACUUCGUCUCCUUGUAUUUGUCUUCUGUUAUAUAGACAAGAAGAGAAAAGAAAGAAAUUCAAGAAAAGUCUAUGGAAUAGACCAGUACAGAGAAAGAGACGUAGCCACAUCUGCCCUCCACAAGGAAGUGUCAGAGCCACUCCACUCCAGCAACAUUCCUGCUCGGCACAGCUUCGCUCCCUGAGCCCCAUUUCAUGUCUGCCAUGUGACAGCCCUGCCGAUGUCAACAAAUGAUUCAUCGUCAGCUCGGAGGGAAAAACAGACUGCGUAGGAAGGUGCCAUAUGGUGAUACAUCCGGGGUUUUUCCUGCCUUCUACUGGGUGACUCUGACCUUAUCACCACACGUUCGAGGUGGAAAUGUGACGUAAUUAAACUGAUUUACAAAAGCCACAUACAGAAACCAGUGUAAUUUCUAAGUCUCAGUGUGGUUAAGGUUUACUUCCUCUACCCAUUUAUAGCCCAGGCUUUUGGACAUGGCUGGUGGAGAGAGCCAGCUUCUGAUAGAAGCUCUCUUUGCUGAUUCCUGCUUCUUUAAUUUAUACUUUCCCUUCAGUUUUCCCGAAGAAAAGGCCUUCGUGGCCUCAAUUAAAUGUGAAGAUUGUGUUUCUCUGCCUCUGUUGGCCAUUCCAAUGUGAAAGCCAAUGAGUAUGCAAAGAAUAACGAUUUGGAAAUACAUUCAGAGAGGGCACAGGGAUGGAAAACACCACAGAAGAUUAUUUUAGAUCCAGAAUAUCAGUCAAAAUUACCUUGAUUCCGUGCAGCAAGUGGAUCCAAAAGAGACCUAAAAAUUCAUGUAGAAAGUAGGUAUAAAUUUGCAUCACAUGCACAUAGAGCUGUAAAAGGCAGCCUGGACAUCUCGGUUUGUCAAUUUUCAGAAAGACAUCAAGGUGAGGUUGAUGAACCUUGACACCUGCUUUGCUUUCUUCCUCCGCUGUAGAAAUUCUGCCUGGUGAGAUUCUGGCGUACCUCCUAGACACUAUAUUUGGAGAACGAGAAGCAGUGUGGCUGGGCAGUUUGUGCAACACGCUAGAAACAUAAUGAGGCUGAUUCUAGAUUUGCCAGUAAUUAAUUGGGAGCACUUGGCUAUGUUUCCUAACCUGCAAAGUUUUCCAGGAUAAAAUUUCAUACUACCUCAUCUCAGUGUUUUGAGGAAUUGCCAAUAAAACAGAUUGUCAAGCCUGUGGGAAACA
rnacentral:lncRNA from 1 species